CGUGAGAUGUUCGGUUAAGUCCGGCAACGAGCGCAACCCACACCCUUGGUUGCCAGCAGGUCAAGCUGGGCACUUUAGGGGAACUGCCCGUGAUAAGCGGGAGGAAGGUGUGGAUGACGUCAAGUCCUCAUGGCCCUUACGGGUUGGGCUACACACGUGCUACAAUGGUGGUGACAGAGGGUUUAUCCCCCAAAAGCCAUCUCAGUUCGGAUUGUCGUCUGCAACUCGACGGCA
rnacentral:rRNA from 1 species